GAUGAACGCUGGCGGCGUGCCUAAUACAUGCAAGUCGAGCGAACAGACGAGGAGCUUGCUCCUCUGACGUUAGCGGCGGACGGGUGAGUAACACGUGGAUAACCUACCUAUAAGACUGGGAUAAAUUCGGGAAACCGGAGCUAAUACCGGAUAAUAUAUUGAACAGCAUGGUUCAAUAGUGAAAGACGGUUUUGCUGUCACUUAUAGAUGGAUCCGCGCCGCAUUAGCUAGUUGGUAAGGUAACGGCUUACCAAGGCAACGAUGCGUAGCCGACCUGAGAGGGUGAUCGGCCACACUGGAACUGAGACACGGUCCAGACUCCUACGGGAGGCAGCAGUAGGGAAUCUUCCGCAAUGGGCGAGAGCCUGACGGAGCAACGCCGCGUGAGUGAUGAUGGUCUUCGGAUCGUAAAACUCUGUUAUUAGGGAAGAACAAAUGUGUAAGUAACUAUGCACGUCUUGACGGUACCUAAUCAGAAAGCCACGGCUAACUACGUG
rnacentral:rRNA from 1 species